rnacentral:rRNA from 1 species
UACGGAGGAUCCAAGCGUUAUCCGGAUUUAUUGGGUUUAAAGGGUGCGUAGGCGGCCUGUUAAGUCAGGGGUGAAAGACGGUAGCUCAACUAUCGCAGUGCCCUUGAUACUGAUGGGCUUGAAUGGACUAGAGGCAGGCGGAAUGAGACAAGUAGCGGUGAAAUGCAUAGACAUGUCUCAGAACACCGAUUGCGAAGGCAGCUUGCUAUGGUUUUAUUGACGCUGAGGCACGAAAGCGUGGGGAGCGAACAGG